GGGUUCUUGCAUCGCCCGGCGCCGGGUGAGCGUAUGGAUGGAUUGCGCUCACUCAUGGGGUAGUCGCACGAUUCGCCCCGGUCGUGGAGGU
rnacentral:ncRNA from 1 species